AGUCGAGCGGAAACAAGAAUAGCUUGCUAUUCGGCGUCGAGCGGCGGACGGGUGAGUAAUGCUUGGGAACGUGCCGUAAGGUGGGGGACAACCAUUGGAAACGAUGGCUAAUACCGCAUAAUGUCUACGGACCAAAGGGGGCUUCGGCUCUCGCCUUAUGAUCGGCCCAAGUGGGAUUAGCUAGUUGGUAAGGUAAUGGCUUACCAAGGCGACGAUCCCUAGCUGGUUUGUGAGGAUGAUCAGCCACACUGGAACUGAGACACGGUCCAGACUCCUACGGGAGGCAGCAGUGGGGAAUAUUGCACAAUGGGCGCAAGCCUGAUGCAGCCAUGCCGCGUGUGUGAAGAAGGCCUUAGGGUUGUAAAGCACUUUCAGUACGGAGGAAAGGUUAGUAGUUAAUACCUGCUAGCUGUGACGUUACUUACAGAAGAAGCACCGGCUAACUCCGUGCCAGCAGCCGCGGUAAUACGCCGGGUGCGAGCGUUAAUCGGAAUUACUGGGCGUAAAGCGUACGCAGGCGGUUUGUUAAGCGAGAUGUGAAAGCCCCGGGCUCAACCUGGGAACUGCAUUUCGAACUGGCAAACUAGAGUGUGAUAGAGGGUGGUAGAAUUUCAGGUGUAGCGGUGAAAUGCGUAGAGAUCUGAAGGAAUACCGAUGGCGAAGGCAGCCACCUGGGUCAACACUGACGCUCAUGUACGAAAGCGUGGGGAGCAAACAGGAUUAGAUACCCUGGUAGUCCACGCCGUAAACGAUGUCUACUAGGAGCUGGGGUCUUCGGACAACUUUUCCAAAGCUAACGCAUUAAGUAGACCGCCUGGGGAGUACGGCCGCAAGGUUAAAACUCAAAUGAAUUGACGGGGGCCCGCACAAGCGGUGGAGCAUGUGGUUUAAUUCGAUGCAACGCGAAGAACCUUACCUACACUUGACAUACAGAGAACUUACCAGAGAUGGUUUGGUGCCUUCGGGAGCUCUGAUACAGGUGCUGCAUGGCUGUCGUCAGCUCGUGUUGUGAGAUGUUGGGUUAAGUCCCGCAAGAGCGCAACCCCUAUCCUUAGUUGCCAGCGAUUCGGUCGGGAACUCUAAGGAGACUGCCGG
rnacentral:rRNA from 1 species